rnacentral:rRNA from 5 species
GAUCAGGUAGGGAUACCCGCUGAACUUAAGCAUAUCAAUAAGCGGAGGAA